rnacentral:rRNA from 1 species
CCAUCUCCCAGAUGGAUCCCACCUCCGCUCGGGUCUGUGAAGAUACGAGUAGAUGGUGCAGUUUCAAGAAAUAAAAACGAAGGAUCCUUCAGCGCGUUAUGUAGGGAUGCCUCGGGACUAUACCUGGGUUCUUCCGCAAUCAGAAUCAGGGAUAUUACUGAUCCACCAACUUUGGAAGCAUUGGCAUGUCGAGAGGCGCUCGCUCUGGCACUGGACCUUGGUUUAUCACAUGUAAUCAUCGCCUCAGAUUGCCACGGGGUAAUCAAGGAUAUUCACAAGCAGGAGGGAGGAAUGUAUGCAAGCAUAAUAAGGGAAAUUGGAGACACUGCAAGAACAAUCAAUGACUGCACCUUCAUCUUCGAAUGUAGAGCUACAAAUAUUGAGGCACAUAGCCUCGCUAAGCACGCUUUCGGUCUGGAUUUCAGGCGCCAUGUGUGGCUUAUAAACCCGCCAGAUCUUCAAUGUAUUCCCAUAAACAUCUCUGAAUUCUAA